UACAGAGGGGGCAAGCGUUGUUCGGAAUUACUGGGCGUAAAGGGCGCGUAGGCGGCCUGCUAAGUCAUACGUGAAAUCCCUCGGCUCAACCGGGGAACUGCGUGUGAUACUGGCGGGCUUGAAUUCGGGAGAGGGAUGCGGAAUUCCAGGUGUAGCGGUGAAAUGCGUAGAUAUCUGGAGGAACACCGGUGGCGAAGGCGGCAUCCUGGACCAAUAUUGACGCUGAGGAGCGAAAGCCAGGGGAGCAAACGGG
rnacentral:rRNA from 1 species